rnacentral:rRNA from 1 species
AUUGAACGCUGGCGGCAGGCCUAACACAUGCAAGUCGAGCGGAGCGGGGGACGGGCGGGUGGGGCCGAGGAAUCUGCGUGGUAGUGGGGGAGAGCGUGAGGAAAGGGGCACUAAUACCCUAUACUAUCAGAUGAGCCUAGGUCGGAUUAGCUAGUUGGUGAGGUAGAGGCCUACCAAGGCGACGAUCCGUAACUGGUCUGAGAGGAUGAUCAGUCACACUGGAACUGAGACACGGUCCAGACUCCUACGGGAGGCAGCAGUGGGGAAUAUUGGACAAUGGGGGAAAGCCUGAUCCAGCCAUGCCGCGUGUGUGAAGAAGGCCUUCGGGUUGUAAAGCACUUUCAGCUGGGAGGCGUUACCAACAGAAGAAGCACCGGCUAACUUCGUGCCAGCAGCCGCGGUAAUAC